GGAUUGUAAACUUCUUUUAUUAAGCACGAAGUAAGUGACGGUACUUAAUGAAUAAGCUCCGGCUAACUACGUGCCAGCAGCCGCGGUAAUACGUAGGGAGCAAGCGUUGUCCGGAUUUACUGGGUGUAAAGGGUGCGUAGGCGGCUUUGCAAGUCAGAUGUGAAAUCUAUGGGCUCAACCCAUAGCCUGCAUUUGAAACUGCAGAGCUUGAGUGUAGUAGAGGCAGGCGGAAUUCCCCGUGUAGCGGUGAAAUGCGUAGAGAUGGGGAGGAACACCAGUGGCGAAGGCGGCCUGCUGGGCUUUAACUGACGCUGAGGCACGAAAGCGUGGGUAGCAAACAGGAUUAGAUACCCUGGUAGUCCACGCUGUAAA
rnacentral:rRNA from 1 species